GACGAACGCUGGCGGCGUGCUUAACACACGCAAGUCGAACGGAAAGGCCCUGCUUUUGUGGGGUGCUCGAGUGGCGAACGGGUGAGUAACACGUGAGUAACCUGCCCUUGACUUUGGGAUAACUUCAGGAAACUGGGGCUAAUACCGGAUAGGAGCUCCUGCUGCAUGGUGGGGGUUGGAAAGUUUCGGCGGUUGGGGAUGGACUCGCGGCUUAUCAGCUUGUUGGUGGGGUAGUGGCUUACCAAGGCUUUGACGGGUAACCGGCCUGAGAGGGUGACCGGCCACAUUGGGACUGAGAUACGGCCCAGACUCCUACGGGAGGCAGCAGUGGGGAAUAUUGCACAAUGGGCGGAAGCCUGAUGCAGCAACGCCGCGUGCGGGAUGACGGCCUUCGGGUUGUAAACCGCUUUCGCCUGUGACGAAGCGUGAGUGACGGUAAUGGGUAAAGAAGCACCGGCUAACUACGUG
rnacentral:rRNA from 1 species